AAUUAUUGGCGAAUAAAAGCUAGUCCUAAAUUUGACUAAAUUUUAUGCUUGACCUCGUCAAUAUAUGUAAUUUUCAGGUACUCAAAGAGAGUUUUAAGAUUUAUUGUGCAAUUAAUGAUGGAAUCAUCAAUCUGGUUGAUAAGUUUUUUGAGAUGCCAAGACAUGAAGCAAUGAAAGCCUUAGAUAUAUAUAAACGAUCUGGCCAAUAGGAAACAAAAAUGGGCUUCUAUUGCCUCACACCACCACCGACCAAGCAAUGAAGCGACUCGAAGACUUGGGUGCCUCAUCUUUUAUUCUUGAUCUUAGAGAUAAUCUGGGUGGACUAGUUCAGGUUUGUUUGAUAUCUUACAUUCUCCAUUUGUCAAUGUAUAUAUAUAUAUAUAUAUAUCCAAGUUGGACACUUUUAUUAUUUCAUCUAUUGCAGAAGGUUAAAUUCAUGAUGCCAAAGAAAAAUUGUCUUUGUUAUAUUGGUUACCAUCAGUGCAAUUUUAAUGGAUAACAGAUAAUUUGAAUCGAUUUCUUAGAGCAUAGUAAUUUUCUUUCUUUAUUUUUUCUCCGUUGUUCUCAUUGAGCCAUGAUUAGGUUUUAUUUUAUGUUAUUUCUUGGACAUAAUUUUUAGUUGCUCUUGUUAUCCUUGAAUCAGGAGUUAUACCCAUUCAUAUCUUUUAGAAUAACACUUCCUACCUAUAUAUGUGUUCAAAGUUCAUAUUUAUCAUAAAAAAAAAAAGAAAAGAAAAAAAGAAGAGGAAUGAAAAAACCGUUUGGAGUUGAGGAGAAAAAGCUAUUUGUGUAUCUUAUGAGCAAAGGAAAAAUUGAUUUGCUUCACUAGUUAGCUGAUUUUUUCCCCCACUAAUUUUCAAAUGCUUUUAAACUAUGUUUUUAAUUUUUUCGGUUCUGUCCAUGGAGUUUAAUGUGAUUGAGUGUUUAAAAAUUGUAAAUUUGAUUGUUUUGCUUAUUUCAGGCUGGGAUUGAAAUUGCUAAGCUCUUUC